rnacentral:lncRNA from 1 species
AUUUUCACAAGUAGGCUAAUAUAAACAUCAUGCCAAAAGCAUAGGCUUUUAUAAGGAAAGGAAGUCUGACAACAAUCAGGUCCUUUUACUUCACAACACAUCUUUCUUCGAUAAGCUCCUCUGUCAUCCACAUGGUUCUGUGGCUCCAUCAAAGGGGUUGCCACAUGAACAUCAAGCACAAACUAUUCUAUUGAGAAUUACUGAUUGCAGCAUUCAAUAAGAUAUGGCCUCAAGAGGACUGAGGGAGCUGAAGCUCCCUCAACCUACUCAGGUUGAAUAGUACCUGGACAAACCAAGACCAUGUAAG